rnacentral:lncRNA from 1 species
AACCCCCUAGGAGUUUGGCUUCAUCUCUGAUCUCCCCUGGCCCUCCUCGCAUAUUCUGCUGCUUCUGGGGAGUGUGGAACUUGCAGACUUGAGCAGGAGCUCUAGGCUUGGGGGCCCUCCCCACAUUCCCUGUUCCUGCCUGCCCUGCUCUUCCCUGCCUACAGGGUCCAGGACAUAUUCUCUCUUGUCUGUGCACUGCAGGGCAUGAGGGCCAAAGAUCAAAGAGAAAUGGGGAUGAGGCUGCAGAGAAGGGGGUGGGGUGGGGACUUAAAGUACACUUGCUUGGCCAGUCACGGUGGCUCACGCCUAUAAUGUGAUGGGGGCAUUGCCACAUCACCAAAGCCAUAGGCCACUGUCCAGAGCUGGGAUU